UACGUAGGGGGCAAGCGUUGUCCGGAUUUAUUGGGCGUAAAGAGCGUGUAGGCGGUUAUACAGGUCCGCUGUGAAAACUGGAGGCUUAACCUCGAGAUGUCGGCGGAAACCAUCUGGCUAGAGUCCGGAAGAGGAGAAUGGAAUUCCCGGUGUAGCGGUGAAAUGCGCAGAUAUCGGGAAGAACACCCGUGGCGAAGGCGGUUCUCUGGGACGGUACUGACGCUGAGACGCGAAAGCGUGGGGAGCGAACAGG
rnacentral:rRNA from 1 species